rnacentral:rRNA from 1 species
AUUGAACGCUGGCGGCAGGCUUAACACAUGCAAGCUGAGCGGAGCGAGGGUGCUUGCACCUUAGCUUAGCGGCGGACGGGUGAGUAAUGCUUAGGAAUCUGCCUAUUAGUGGGGGACAACAUUCCGAAAGGAAUGCUAAUACCGCAUACGUCCUACGGGGGAAAGCAGGGGAUCUUCGGACCUUGCGCUAAUAGAUGAGCCUAAGUCGGAUUAGCUAGUUGGUGGGGUAAAGGCCUACCAAGGCGACGAUCUGUAGCGGGUCUGAGAGGAUGAUCCGCCACACUGGGACUGAGACACGGCCCAGACUCCUACGGGAGGCAGCAGUAGGGAAUAUUGGACAAUGGGCGGAAGCCUGAGCCAGCCAUGCCGCGUGUGUGAAGAAGGCCUUUUGGUUGUAAAGCACUUUAAGCGAGGAGGAGGCUACUAGUAUUAAUACUACUGGAUAGUGGACGUUACUCGCAGAAUAAGCACCGGCUAACUCUGUGCCAGCAGCCGCCGUAAGAC